CGCGGGCAGCAGCAGUCGGCAGGGGCGUCCCCGACCGGCUCACUGCCACUUCCCCUGGCCCGACUCCGGCCUCCAGAGCUAGCCUCGCCCUCAUUCCUUCCCUUUUGUCCCCAACUCCUGUUUUUUUGGACUUCUCUCUCUCUCUGCCCUAGCCCCAGUGUUCAGGAUCUCAGUGACUAUCCCAGGUACCUUUGCUGCUGAUUUGGGUGUCUUGUUUAAAAGAAGAUUGGGUGGGUGGGAGUCUCUUGGAGAGCUGAGGUUGAGGCCUGGGGAGCACGCCCAGGUCUUGGAGUCUCGGUUCCUCUUCACAGUGUUUGUGGGUUAUCUCCCCUUCCAUCCCUCACCUCUUUUUUUUUUUUUCCUUUUUUUAAAAAGAACAGAAUAAAGUCAAGUAGACAACA